UACAGAGGGUGCGAGCGUUAAUCGGAAUUACUGGGCGUAAAGCGUGCGUAGGCGGUUUGUUAAGUCCGCUGUGAAAGCCCUGGGCUCAACCUGGGAAUUGCAGUGGAUACUGGCAAGCUAGAGUGCGGUAGAGGAUGGUGGAAUUCCCGGUGUAGCGGUGAAAUGCGUAGAGAUCGGGAGGAACACCGGUGGCGAAGGCGGCAUCCUGGACCAAUACUGACGCUGAGGAGCGAAAGCCAGGGGAGCAAACGGGG
rnacentral:rRNA from 1 species